AUUGAACGCUGGCGGCAGGCUUAACACAUGCAAGUCGAGCGGGGGAAGGUAGCUUGCUACCGGACCUAGCGGCGGACGGGUGAGUAAUGCUUAGGAAUCUGCCUAUUAGUGGGGGACAACAUCUCGAAAGGGAUGCUAAUACCGCAUACGCCCUACGGGAGAAAGCAGGGGAUCUUCGGACCUUGCGCUAAUAGAUGAGCCUAAGUCGGAUUAGCUAGUUGGUGGGGUAAAGGCCUACCAAGGCGACGAUCGGUAGCGGGUCUGAGAGGAUGAUCCGCCACACUGGGACUGAGACACGGCCCAGACUCCUACGGGAGGCAGCAGUGGGGAAUAUUGGACAAUGGGGGGAACCCUGAUCCAGCCAUGCCGCGUGUGUGAAGAAGGCCUUAUGGUUGUAAAGCACUUUAAGCGAGGAGGAGGCUCUUUUGGUUAAUACCCAAGAUGAGUGGACGUUACUCGCAGAAUAAGCACCGGCUAACUCUGUGCCAGCAGCCGCCGUAA
rnacentral:rRNA from 1 species